CCCCUGGUGGCCUAGUGGUUAAGGAUUUGGCAUUUUCACUGCUGUGGCUUGGGUUUGAUUCCCAGCCCAGGAA
rnacentral:tRNA from 1 species